rnacentral:misc_RNA from 1 species
UUGCAGCAUUUACGACUUCACCAGUCAUGAAUCCGUGGUAAUCGCCCUCCUUACGGUUGAGGCCUAGCUACGCCGGUGACCCACUCCCAUGGUGUGACGGGCGGUAUGUACAGGACCCGGAGCGUAUUCACCGCGACAUGCUGAUCCGCGAUUACUAGCGAUUCCGACUUCACGCAGUCGAGUUGCAGACUGCGUCCGGACGGACUACGAUCGGGUUUCUGGGAUUGGCUCCCCUCGCGGGUUGGCGACCACUCUGUCCCGACCAUUGUGACGUGUGAAGCCCUACCCGCCAGGGCCAUGAGGACUUGACGUCAUCCCCACCUUCCUCCGGUUUUGUCACCAGCAGUCUCAGUGCCUUUCGUAGCAACUAAUGACAAGGGUUUGCGCUCGUUGCGGGACUUGACAACAUCUCACGACACGAACUGACGACAGCCGUACCAGCACCUGUGUUCCGGUUCUCUUGCGAGCACUCCCAAACCGGGAUUCCAGACAUGUCAAGGGUAGGUAAGGUUUUUCACUUUGGUGCAUCGAAUUAAUCACAUCAUGCAAUGGUCGGGACCGGAGAAUUCGCCAACCCGCGAGGGGGCAAUCACGAAACCAGUCGUAGUCCGAGAUCGCAGUCUGCAGCUCGACUGCGUGGUCGGAGAUCGUAGUAAUCGCGGAUCAGCAUGUCGCGGUGAAUACGUUCCCGGGUCCUGUACACACACCGCCCGUCACACCAUGGAGUGGGUUUACCAGAAGUAGUUAGCCUAACCGCUAAGGAGGGCGAUUACCACGGUAGGAUUCAUGGCUAGAGGUGAAGUCGUAACAAGGUAACCUAUUUACUACCAGUAUCUCU